rnacentral:piRNA from 1 species
UGGAGAUUAUGCAGAUUUUAGGAGG